rnacentral:lncRNA from 1 species
AUGACCCAGACGCACAGGGCGCGGGCAGCCGCGGGGGAACGCGGCCAGGGCCCCUGCCCUUCCCUUCCCCUCUUCACCGGCUCUGCUCGCGUCCCGCCCCGCGCCCGCACUCUGGGGUCCCACCCCCAGCACAGUUUUCCCUCCCGGGAGCUCUGGAUCUCCCCUCCCCCGCUCCCGGUUUCCUUGUCAAAACUUCCUGCCUUGGCCAGGGCCCGAGUUCCCACCCCCUUCCUGCCCCCCCGCCCCUCCGCGCCCCUCCCCGUCCUGCGAUCCGCGUCCUUCGGCCUCUGCGCUGCGGCUCUCGCAGUCGGGCUGGGGCUCCGUGCGGGGGCCCUCGCUGUAGUCCUCGGCCCCUCUAGGCCGGCGGUCCCCACCCCAAGCCUGCGGAUUCAAGGGGCCCGGACAGCAUUUUGCUGCUCCUUUCCCAUUCCCGGAUCAUCCUGGGGGUUCUACAGAG